ensembl:lncRNA
GUAUGAAGUUACAUUGGUGUAAGGGAUUUCCUCCUCUUCUUCCGAAGAGGAGAGGCGAAAAGGAUCAGAGGACCAAUAUGCAGCGUGGUUCCAGUGUCUGUGAAGGGAGGGUGCAGGUCCGUCCUUGGGAAGAAGGAGACAGUAACAAAAAUUCAAUUUUCAGAAAUCCCACAGUUGUACUGCGAGACGGCAUUUCGAAGCUCAUGAGGAUUUGGACUUAAGACGAUUUAGAGGUGAUUUAUGCAGUAAACCAAAUGGCUAUGCUGGGAGGAGAGGAGAUAAAAACGAGAGCGAGUCCCCGUCAGCCUUAAAGAGGAACUGCCUCUAAAAGCUACUAAUCCCUUUGACAUGAUCAUUUGAUAAUAGCUAGCUAGCUAACGUUAGACUACAAGUUGGAUUUGCAAAUUAGUUCAUAGCUCAUGCAAGUAUUUUCUGUAUUGUCUAGGGCAAAACUAAAUAAUGGAUUCAACUAUGACAUUAGCUAACUCAUGUCUGACGCUGAAUAAUACAGUGAACUAGGAGCAACAAAUCGUAAUCUGGAGCUACAGUCAGUCUGUACAGAGAAUUAGGGUUUCCAAUAGUUACCACAUCGGCAAAUAAAAAAUUGGCUAUAUUGUAAAGAUUGAUGAAAACAAAAAUCUGCUUUUUGGUAUGAAUUUAAGGUUAGGGUUAGGCAUGAGGUUAGUAAUGUUGUUAAGGUUAAGGUUAGGUUUAAAAUAACGUUUUAAGAAGAGAAAUUGUAGAAAUAGGUGGGCUUUAUGACUGUGGCUGUGGUAAUUACUGACGACAUAGAUUUAGCUUGACCCGAGUUACUGCACUAAUUACACAGACAGGUUCAUCAACGGUAAUGUGUGUUAUGUGAAAAGUUGUAUUAAAAAAUACCCAGUUUGAUAAACUAGUAGGUUAAUUACCCAGCCACGCAAUUACAAGUAGUAGAGUCAUUUUGGUUGUGAAGUGCAUUAUGAAAAAGCUUCUUUAUAACAAAAUGCAAUUUACCACCCCGCUGUCUAUUGUAUCACCCUGUCACAGGCCCUGCCAGUCAACACCACCUCAUAAGAGGAGGAAGUACAUUGUUUAUGAGGUUUGCCUGCUGCAGUUGUUCGAGAGAUGUCCAGUUUGCAGCCGAACAUCCAACAUAGAGAAGACCAGCAAGGGGACCCUUAGCAUCACGAAGACAUGCCCUCACUGUGAGCAUUCCUAUAAAAGGGACAUCGAUGGGGAGACCAGAAUUAGAAACAUUUAUGGAGCCAGCACAUGGAGACUUGCAAGAUGAUGAAGUCCAAACUGACAGACAGGCUUGAUGGAGAGAGACCCGGCACUCUGCAUUUGUCGCGCUCUGACCAUAGAGAGCCUUUUUUAUUCUGUAUUUUGGUUUGGUCGGGGUGUAACUAGGGGGAUUGUUCCUAUCUAGGUGUUUUGUUUUCUAUCUUGGCCAGGUAUGGUUCCCAAUCAGAGGCAGCUGUUUAUCAUUGUCUCUGAUCGGGGAUCAUAUUUAGGCAGCCAUUUCCCCACUGGUUUUUGUGGGAUCUUGUUUUUGUGUAGUGCCUGUGAGCUCUACAUUUGCUUCACGUUUCGUUACUCUUUAUUGUUUUUGUGAGUUUCAUUGAAUAAACAUGUGGAACUCUACACACGCUGCACCUUGGUCCAUUUAUUCCAACGAUGGUGACAGCAUUAACAUUUUACUAGACAAC